GUUUUGCAAGCACUUAUUAUUUCUCAUUCAGUCCCCCCACUCAUUGUAGAAUAGACUAUAUUAAAGGACUGCUGUGAGUCGAGGUCUUCCUGUGCCUACUGGAACGCUGCCUCGUUGCUAAGAAACAACAUGCAGACAAUGAAAGCAACCGUGCUGGUAGUGAUGGUGAUGAUGGCAGCUACAGCAACAGCACAGCACCUCCCCUUAUACCCGUGCGAGGCAUGCACACUAGAUGACUUUUCUGACUCCAAGAUAAUGUCGAGGAUGAACACCUGUGCAGGCUGCGGUGCUAUGUACGGACCAGUGCUGGAACACUGCUGCAUGUGUCAUGAUAACUUCUUCAGUUUGUGCGAACUUGCCAAUGCAAGAAGGAGGUAGAAAGGAACCAGGCUUGCAAUAGGUUCUAAAGACAAUAACGCCUUUCUUGGGGCAUCUCGAAGAAACUUGCUAUUGUUUUGCUGGACAUGGUGUUAUGUUGUAAAAUCCUCUCGAACCAAACAGUGUUUUUCAACCAAAUGUACCCCACACAGAUCUUUUUGGUAGCAUUCGAAUAGGUUAAUGUGAAUCUAUUUGCUUUGUACUAUCUCAAAUUCAUGUUGAAAUAAAUCGCCUAUUCGUCUAA